UAAAAUAGACUUAUCAAGUCCAUUACCAUUUCCAUAAUCUUAUAUUUCCCCAAAAUGCCCAGGAUAAGAUUUAUUUCUAUCAAAACACAGCAUAUUAAAGCAGAAAGAGAACUUCACAAUUAUCUAUCUCUCCCUCCCCAAAUAUGGAUGUUGAAGAACAGGAUGAAGUAGUAAUAUUACAGCUAGUCACAGUAUCAUAGAUUUAGACCUCAAGAAGACUUUACAGAUAAUCAAAUUUUACCCAUCUCAUUUAAUAGAUGAGGAAACUGACUCAGAAAGAGAAGAAAUUUGACUAAGGUCAUACCAUUAGAGAGUACUAAAGCAAGAUAGCAAGAUUUCACCCAAGAUGAAGAAUCAGAGUUGCAGAGAAAUGGAGAGAUUUGAUGAAAGUCAUACAGCAAAUUGGUGCCAGAACUAAAGAAACAUGAUGUUAUGACUUUGACUAUAGGGUCAAUUAACUCUGAAAUUCAGAGUAACUACUCACCUGUACUGGACUGAACAAUUCCAGAGUCCACAGUUUGUCCAAGG